rnacentral:lncRNA from 1 species
UGAAUUCCAAAAUUUCAAAAACUGAAUAUAAUAACUCUUCAAACAACUUCCACUAGAAUUCUAACGCCUCCCAUCAUUGCCAACACCCUCCUCGUCGACCGCUCUCACUGCUUCCAUGGCCCCAGCUUACUAUCCAUCGUCAACACCAUCCACAGUUACCACCAGCUCAUUCCUAUUGCACAUCGCCUUCCAAAAACCCUAAAGUCUCCCCUCCCCACCAUACGCCACCACAGUCGUACGCCUCUCUCCAGGAACCAUAAAAACCUUGGAUUUCAACUUCUUCGCCGUUGGCACCACAUACGCACCACCAAAAACCAAUCACAGAAAAGUAAUACUUAUUCAUCUCUUCUCUCUCUCUCUCUCUCUCUCUCUCUCUAUAUAUAUAUAUAUANNNNNNNNUAUAUAUAUACAAAAUCCUGUCUAUCUAUACCAUCUCUCUAAUUGUGUUUAUAUGAUAUGGUUUUUCAGGCCAUAUAACGAAUGUGGUUGAAACAAAC